AGGCUGCCGGAGGCGGCCGUUGCGACGGGUUCGGCCGGAUCGAUGACGGAUCCAGCUGAGAAGGGUGCAGAUCCGGUGAUGCCGGUCGUGCAUCUGGGAGCCUACGGUCGUUGUUUGCGACGGCGGCCUUGACUGGACUUUCGUUGCCACGGCAUGCCGGCCCCUCGCCGUGCUCACGUCGCCCUUUUUUCGUUCGCCGUCUGAUCGUUCGUUUGUGGCCUGAUGCGUUGCUCUCUCUCAGUUUUCCCUCUCUGCCUCCGCGAGCUCUCGGGGAGCCGCGCCGCACGAGCACCGAGCAGCCAAGGACUUGGCGUCGCUCCUGGAAGCGUACCGCCGCGAUCGGCGCGCCCUCCUCGGCUUCAUCCUCUCCACCGUCGGCGGCCGCGCCGUCGACCUCUCCCGCGUGGACCUCGACGCCGUCAGCGCCGACUACGCCCUUGACUGCGUCGCCUCCGCUCCAACUGAUUUGACACACUGGCCAAAUGUUUGAUGAUUUCUACUUGGGGGAUGCUGAGUAUGACCAGGAGACCCCUGAGAACCUCAACUUCGCUAUGAACUUCACCGAGAAAGCUCUGUGCUAUCAUGAUUCAGCUGUAGGUGGCCAACAAGAGCGAAGCCUCAAUCUCUCUUGAGGACAACGACACUGUUAUUGUCGCCUCUGACUACGCUCAAGAGGCCUCCUCACAUCUUCAGACUUGGUAUCCAUUAACUUCUUUCGGCUUACUAAGGCAACAGCUGAGAAAAAAAAAGGGAGAACCUCCCCAGAUUGCAUCGUUUGAUGAACUAUCUCCUUCUGGUACCCAGGACAAGAUAAUUAAUACUUAUCUCUGCUUUCAACCAAAAACUAUAAACACUGACAAGAUAAACUAUGCUACAAGGCAAAGGCACCCACAAUAGCAGUAGAAGAUACUCCAUCAGCAUCCCCAUCAUCGCCUACCAAAAACAUUCCCCAAAAAGGUCUGCAGCCUCUGCCUCAGCUGCUAAGAAACUAUUGAAAGCGGAUGAAGAAGGAAACAACAUGCAACACAGUACUGCCCCUUUUGGUUAUAUAUGUCCAGGAUGGCAUCAGUAUGCACAACUAGCCUUAGAAGCAACACUAUUUGUUUACAACCUUUGCAUUAUGGCCAGUAAUGUAAAUAGCUGCUAUCAUAUAUAUGGCGUUUGGUUCCUAGAAUCCUUUUGCUUUACACAAAACUGCAAUCCAGACUAUUACAAGCACUUAUGGUUAAAAUCCUAUAAGCCUUAAUUAUUAU